GACGAACGCUGGCGGCGUGCUUAACACAUGCAAGUCGAACGAAGUGGCGAACGGGUGAGUAACGCGUAAUCAACCUGCCCUUCAGAGGGGGACAACAGUUGGAAACGACUGCUAAUACCGCAUACGGAAGGAGGGGAAUGCGUCUGAUUAGCUAGUUGGAGGGGUAACGGCCUACCAGGGCGAUGAUCAGUAGCCGGUCGGAUAGGCUUAACCGCCCAAUUGGGACUGUGACAAGGCCCAGACUCCUACGGGGGGCAGCAGUGGGGAAUCUUCCGCAAUGGACGGAAGUCUGACGGAGCAACGCCGCGGGAGUGAUGACGGCCUUCGGGUUGUAAAGCUCUGUUAAUCGGGACGCGGUACCGGAAUAGAAAGCCACGGCUAACUACGUGCCAGCAGCCGCGGUAAUUC
rnacentral:rRNA from 1 species